AUUGAACGCUGGCGGCAGGCCUAACACAUGCAAGUCGAACGAGCGGCGGACGGGUGAGUAAUGUAGGGGGACUGCCCGAUAGAGGGGGCUAACUACUGGAAACGGUGGCUAAUACCUCAUCCUGUCGUAUAACCCAUAUGGGAUUAUCUAUUAGGUAAGGUAAUGGCUUACCUAGUCGAAGAUCCCUAUCUUGUCUGAGAGGAUGAUCAGCAACACUGGGACUUAGAAACGGCCCAGACUCCUACGGAGGGAGCAGUGGGGAAUAUUGCACAAUGGGGGCAAGCCUGAUGCAGCCAUGCCGCGUGUAUGAAGAAGGCCAUAGGGUUGUAAAGUACUUUCAGUCGGGAGGCGUUACCGACAGAAGAAGCACCGGCUAACUCCGUGCCAGCAGCCGCGGUAAUAC
rnacentral:rRNA from 1 species